rnacentral:rRNA from 1 species
CCAGCACUAAAGCACCGGAUUCCAUCAAAACUCCGAAGUUAAGCGCGCUUGG